UCCAAAUUCCGUCGCCGACGAUGACGCAGACGUGGAAUUGGUGUUUAAACCGUCACUCUGCAGGAUAUUUUCUAGUGCCUUUACCACUUGGCUCAUAGUUGGACGAUCCGCAGCUGAUUCUUCGACGCAUUGCAUUUCCAGAUGUAGUGGUUGUUGAAACGGGGAUAGAUCCUGUCAACUGAUUGUCUGCCAAGUCGAGCCAGUACAGCAUGGAAAGCUUACCAAAGGAAGCAGUAAUCCAUCCUUACAGAAAAGAUAGGUUCUCAAGAUUGCCCAGCUCGUCUGGUAUCGUACCACUGAAGCCGCAUCCAGCCAAGAUUCUGGAAAAGAUAAAAAAAAAACAUUACGAGACUAAUUCAAGAGCAGUUCCAUUGUUAUUAUUGAAUCUUAUUAUCUUACAGAAUGUUUAGUUGUUGCAGGUCAGCCAAACGCGAAGAGAGGGAACCAGUCAAUUGACGAUUGAAUGAGACAUCCCUGAUACAAAAGCACUUUCGAAAAUAAGGUAACACCUUCCCACGGUAAUCCACAAGGAUCAUCGGAUUCCCCCCAGCUUGGCGGUGUAUUCUUCCAUUGAUCCUUUAAAGACCUCAGUGCUGCGGCUGCAUCAACAACACCCAUUCAGAAGUUGAAAAACUCAUUGUUAUAUGUCAAAAUGUCGAUAUAUACGAAAUAAGAAAGACAGAAAACAAACUCACCAUCAUUAGGAUCUGUGACGGAAGAGAUCAAACGAAUUCUUGCGCAGAACAGUAGAAGAACUGAGAGAAAGCAACCACAUGGAAACAGACAAGAAACAAUUUUGGUAGGUGUCAGAAAGAGAAAGAGAAAGGUUGAGGUAAAGAAACCUUUUAAUUGAUUAAGCUUUUCUUUGAAGCCAAUCAAUGUUUUCCCUCUUUUUCCUCACAGGCUCCCAGCCCCACUACUCCAUUUAUGCCCCAUAAUCAUAGUCAUGAUUGUUACUUGGCACCUUAUUAUUAACAAAAAUUACUUUCUUUUACUAUUGAUUACAGUUUCAAAUUUAAUCCCUACUUGCAAAGUCUAUACUUUCAUGAUAGCUAAUUGAGCAUGCUGCCAUUGGUUUCUACCCACUAAUGAAGGAAGAACAGACAUGC